AUAAGCAGUUGUUUUCGUGUUGUAGUAAGUUGUCAUUUUGCGCAAUAGCAUUUCAUGAAAUGUAAUUGAAAAUGUUUCGUUGAGAGUAGUGAUAUGGCUAUGGUGACCAAAGCAAUGUUAAAUUCACUUUGGUCGUUUUAGACAAACAAACACAGACGCAAACGUGCAAGUGGCAUGAUUUUGACGUGCAAGUGGUAUGUUCCACAUAAAACUACUAUUUCCUGUUCUAUACUGCUAACCUUAGUCCAACUGGAUUGGCCAAUACUGCGACCACUUGUGGGUUUUAUGAUCUUCGCUCGGGUGUUCUUGAUUGCCGCUGCACAUGCGCAACUAACAGUUAUGCUACUGUAAAAUGUGUUGGAGGCAUGUCGGAAGCCGUGUCAAACAUUGAGUGUCAGUUGUUAUCAUAGCUCAGUUGACUCUGAUCACAGUGGUCUUUCAUAAAAGAGAAAAUGUUGUCUGUGCUGAUUUACGAAGAUCUAUCGUUAUUCAAGUGUCGAAUGUAUGUCAUAAAUUUGUUUUGAACAAUGAUUUUGAAAGAUAAGUUAUUGUAGAUAAUGUAGUAUUCAUGGAAAACGUGAUUUUCUUAAAAAUGAUGUGUUUAUUGUUAAAACUGGCGAGACAUCUUAGGGGCUUAACAGGCAAUCUAAGCAGGAACCGAAAGGGACUGUCACCUGGUCAUAACGUGAUUUUCUUAAAAAUGAUGUGUUUAUUGUUAAAACUGGCGAGACAUCUUAGGGGCUUAACAGGCAAUCUAAGCAGGAACCGAAAGGGACUGUCACCUGGUCAUAUAUAAACAGUUAGCACGAAAACACAUAAUUCAAACAAGUUUUUCUUAAGUAAGAUUGAACAUUUAGCUAUAUUAUCAAAAUUACAGUCACUACUUCAUUGUGUGACGACAAAUUUAACUGGCUACUCACAUGUACCAAUUGCGUACAAAUACCCAAUGCAUUGCAUACCCAAUGACCGCGCAUAUUUCUUGAGUGGUCAAUUUUUAUAUAUUGAAUAAAUUUUUCUUGAUAGUCCUACUACGCAAAUUUCAACUAUUGCUUUUUGUCCAGUUUGCAUUUCAUUGAGUCUACUUUUGUUUACAAAUCACACAAUUAAAGUAUACUUUUGCU